GGCCUCCUCCCUUAGCCUGUCCCCCAGGCUUCUCGGCCUUUACUUUAUAUGCAGAUAAACUGAGGAUCUUGUUAAAUAGACGAGAGGCCGGGCUCGAAUCGGUGUUCCAACAUGCUCCCACCUGGUGCCAAUACUGAGUAGCCAGGCACAGAGGCUUCUAGAACUGUGUGCCCUGUAAGAGCUCAGCUCAGUCGUUCUCUACAGCACCGCCGCGAGGGGGUAUAACACCGGGUGAAACUGAGUCUCUCAGAAGCCACGUAACCCCGGUUUGAAUACACUGUCCUGCCUUACUGUUGAGUGGGAGGUGGAAGGUGGAAGCCAGCCAGCCACCCGGUAGCGGUCUGAUUGCAUUCUUGUAGCUGCAACCAUCUGACUCCUUUAUUAGGACACCUAGAUGGGGCGUGCCUGGGGUAGUAAAGGGGAUGUUACAGAAUAACUGUUUUACAAAGAGACCUUGGGGCGGAAGAAGGUCAUGCAGCGCUGGGUUAGAGGGGCAAGAGGACGAUGGGCACCUCCUGGAGAUCCUCGACCGGAAGUGGAAGUAGGCACUGGCGCCCUCAACAGCAGGUGGAGCCUGCCUCCCGCUACAGAAGCUAAACAGGCACUCCCUCCCGGGGGCUCCCCUGCGGCUGGGUGUGGAUCCAUGUCCUAGACACACAUGGAACAGGUGCACCUGUCCCGGACUUCGAAUGAAGAUACGAUUGCUUCUCCCUGAGUAAGGAGGAAAGCCGUUACUGAGGAGAAUUGAAGAGCUGUUUGUUCACGCCUGCCACACAACUGUAAUCAUCUCCACUUUCCCAGUCUGACCCUCUAGUGACGGGGUAGUGCUGACCGAGCAGGCAUUCCCUGCGAUCCAGAGCCAAGGUCUGUGCAUUGAUUCUCUCUUUCAAAGGUGAGUGUUUGAAAUAUGUAAGCUCUCUGAGUUCAAGGACAUAACACCUGCUUCUUCAGAACUCUCUGCAGAGUCCUUUUGAUUAAUUGAUUUGACUUGAACUUUUCCAUUCAGAUGUACAGAAUGAAGUCUGGGCUGAGAAUUUAAAGUAGUUCGUUUCAGAGGACUUGUGUGUGGGAACCGACUGGAAGGUAGAAGAAGCCAGCCCCAUGGUGUGAAGAGCGGGCUGCGUCAAGGCCACAUUCUUUACAAAGUCCGAUCGCUAGAACUGCGGAGCCGGUUCGUGCAUCUGCCGCGGGCUGGGCACUGGGCUGGGCACCGGGCUGGGCACCGGGUGGCACGAGCGGCGUGUGCUUCCUCACUUCAUCCUCACAAUAUAUGUUCUCUUCUCAGCUUUCAUUUUACAAAGGAGAAAACAGAGCCACGAGUAUUAAGACAACUUGACCCAAAGUCACACACCUAACUACCCAGUGGAGCUGGGAUUUGAUCAUCAGCAUUUUGCUCCACAACCCAAGCACUUGACCUCCAAGCUAAGAAAACCUACCUUUCACAAAGAUAUCCUCCACCCAGGGCCAGUGGGAUGGGCUUUGUACAUCUGUGCAAACUGGAGAGGGAGACGGCAGCACUGGGACCAUGUUUUAACAGAUGACGGCCUGAGUUCUGUCCCUGCGCAUUAGUGCGCUGCUAUGCCUUCACCAGCAGAAGGGAGCUGGGCUCAAGUGCAGGGGUGAGAAUCAAGUCAUUGCCAGCGGCUCCGUCCAUCAGUUCCUAGUCCUCCGGAAAACAGCGUGGUCCAUAAAGAAUUUUAGUUUUUGACUCCAUAAUCCCAGUGAUGGGAAUUUAUUCUAAGAAAAUAAUAGAAAACAAAUCUAUACACAAAAAGGCAUUCACCCAGCAUUACACAUCACUGCAAAAAUUGGCAGCCAUAUAAACCUCCCAGUGUCACGGAUCCUCAGGUAGGCUAUGAUACAUCCAUU